rnacentral:lncRNA from 1 species
AGCUCAAACUUAAAUCAUCUCAUUAGAGUGUAGCCAUCAUCGAGUUUAGCAUUUAGGUUGCAUCCUUGGUUCUUUCCAUAGGGAUUAACUGAAUCCAUUACAUCUUAUCCAGAAUUAUCUUUUUUUACUCUAAGUUUCAUUUUUUUUGCUUCUAUUCUAAGACACAUUUAAGUAGCUAAUUGCAUCCUAGUUACUUAGCACAAAAUUAAAAAGCUACAUAUAAUCUUCAUUCGUGUGCUUAAACUCGAGCUUGGAGAAAACAUGAUACCAUUAAGACUUUUUGAAGUGUGUUAAAGACAAACUUCAAUAUCUUGAUUCAAGAGGAGU